rnacentral:rRNA from 1 species
AGAGUUUGAUCCUGGCUCAGGAUGAAUGCUGGCGGCGUGCCUAACACAUGCAAGUCGAGCGGCAGCGAGGGGUGCUUGCACCCUGUCGGCGAGCGGCGGACGGCUGAGUAACGCGUGGGAAUCUACCCUAAAGUGAGGGAUAACCGCCCGAAAGGGUGGCUAAUACCACAUAUGAUCUUCGGAUUAAAGGAUUUAUCCGCUUUAGGAAGAGCCCGCGUUAGAUUAGGUAGUUGGUAGGGUAAUGGCCUACCAAGCCAACGAUCUAUAGCUGGUCUGAGAGGAUGAUCAGCCAGACUGGAACUGAGACACGGUCCAGACUCCUACGGGAGGCAGCAGUGAGGAAUCUUCCACAAUGGGCGAAAGCCUGAUGGAGCAACGCCGCGUGAAGGAUGAAGGCCUUCGGGUUGUAAACUUCUUUUAUGAGUGAAGAAUAUGACGGUAACUCAUGAAUAAGCACCGGCUAACUACGUGCCAGCAGCCGCGGUCAUACGUAGGGUGCAAGCAUUAUCCGGAGUGACUGGGCGUAAAGAGUUGCGUAGGCGGUUUAAUAAGUGAAUAGUGAAACCUGGUGGCUCAACCAUACAGACUAUUAUUCAAACUGUUAAACUCGAGAGUGGUAGAGGUAACUGGAAUUUCUAGUGUAGGAGUGAAAUCCGUAGAUAUUAGAAGGAACACCAAUGGCGUAGGCAGGUUACUGGACCAUUUCUGACGCUAAGGCACGAAAGCGUGGGGAGCGAACUGGAUUAGAUACCCAGGUAGUCCACGCCGUAAACGAUGGAUACUAGCUGUUGGAGGUAUCGACCCC